ACCAUCCUCCAAGGCUAAAUACUCCUGACUGACCGAUAGUGAACCAGUACCGUGAGGGAAAGGCGAAAAAGAACCCCGGCGAGGGGAGUGAAAAAGAACCUGAAACCGUGUACGUACAAGCAGUGGGAGCACCUUCGGGUGUGACUGCGUACCUUUUGUAUAAUGGGUCAGCGACUUAUAUUCUGUAGCAAGGUUAACCGUAUAGGGGAGCCGCAGGGAAACCGAGUCUUAACUGGGCGUUAAGUUGCAGGGUAUAGACCCGAAACCCGGUGAUCUAGCCAUGGGCAGGUUGAAGGUUGGGUAACACUAACUGGAGGACCGAACCGACUAAUGUUGAAAAAUUAGCGGAUGACUUGUGGCUGGGGGUGAAAGGCCAAUCAAACCGG
rnacentral:rRNA from 1 species